GCGUUGUCCGGGUUUACUGGGUGGAAAGGGCGUGUCGGCGGGGAAGCAAGUUUGGAGGGAAAUCUAUGGGCUCAACCCACAAACUGCUCUCAAAACUGUUUCCCUUGAGUAUCGGAGAGGCAAGCGGAAUUCCUAGUGUAGCGGUGAAAUGCGUAGAUAUUAGGAGGAACACCAGUGGCGAAGGCGGCUUGCUGGACGACAACUGACGCUGAGGCGCGAAAGCGUGGGGAGCAA
rnacentral:rRNA from 1 species